AACGAACGCUGGCGGCACGCCUAACACAUGCAAGUCGAACGAGACCUUCGGGUCUAGUGGCGCACGGGUGCGUAACGCGUGGGAACCUGCCCUUAGGUUCGGAAUAACUCCCCGAAAGGGGUGCUAAUACCGGAUAAUGUCUUCGGACCAAAGAUUUAUCGCCUUUGGAUGGGCCCGCGUUGGAUUAGCUAGUUGGUAGGGUAAAAGCCUACCAAGGCGACGAUCCAUAGCUGGUCUGAGAGGAUGAUCAGCCACACUGGGACUGAGACACGGCCCAGACUCCUACGGGAGGCAGCAGUGGGGAAUAUUGGACAAUGGGCGAAAGCCUGAUCCAGCAAUGCCGCGUGAGUGAUGAAGGCCUUAGGGUUGUAAAGCUCUUUUAACCGGGAUGAUAAUGACAGUACCGGGAGAAUAAGCGCCGGCUAACUCCGUG
rnacentral:rRNA from 1 species